AUGGGGCGCGGGAAGGUGGUGAUGAAGAGGAUCGACAACAAAGUGGCGCGACAGGUCACCUUCCACAAGCGCCGCCGCGGCCUGCUGAAGAAGGCGCAGGAGCUCGCCGUGCUCUGCGACGCGCACCUCGGCGUCCUCGUCUUCAACAGCACCGGCAAGCUCCACCACGACUACUGCAGCCUCCAUACCAGGUCCGUCCGUCCCUGCUUGCUUGCAUCCACCUUCCUCACAGUUCUUCUCCACGGCCCGUUUGUUCGUCCAUCGCGAUUUUAUUCCGGCCGUUGUAUAUUGAUUUUGGGUACACGGCUAUUUGGACGAACGGAUUUGUUUCUACAGUUUGGCUAUUACUCCCUCCGUUCCAUAUUAUGGAACGGAGGGAGUAGUAUGCAGAACUUGAUUAGUUGUAUAGUAUACAGUGCCGGAGACAGAAAAAAAGUAUGA
rnacentral:rRNA from 1 species